rnacentral:rRNA from 1 species
AGCGAACGCUGGCGGCAGGCCUAACACAUGCAAGUCGAACGGAGUCGCGGACGGGGUAGUAACACGUCGGAACGUGACCUUUGGUUCGGAACAACUCAGGGAAACUUGUGCUAAUACCGGACGCCAUUGGGGCGGCCCGAGUCUGAUUAGCUAGUUGGUGAGGUAAAGGGUCACCCAGGCGACGAUCAGUAGAUGGGUUGAGAGGAUGAUUAGCCACAUUGGGACUGAGACACGGCCCAAACUCCUACGGAAGGCAGCAGUGGGUAAUCGUGCGCAAUGGGCGAAAGCCUGAAGCAGUCAUGCUGCGUGAAUGCUGAAGGUCGUAGGAUUGAAAAAUUCUUUCACCGGGGCCGCGGUACCUGGUGAAGAAGCCCCGGCUAACUUCGUGCCAGCAGCCGCGGUAAUUC